UACGUAGGGUGCGAGCGUUGUCCGGAAUUAUUGGGCGUAAAGGGCUCGUAGGCGGUUUGUCGCGUCGGGAGUGAAAUCCACUGGCUUAACUGGUGGCUUGCUUUCGAUACGGGCAGACUGGAGGUAUGCAGGGGAGAACGGAAUUCCUGGUGUAGCGGUGAAAUGCGCAGAUAUCAGGAGGAACACCGGUGGCGAAGGCGGAUCUCUGGGCCAUUACUGACGCUGAGGAGCGAAAAGCGUGGGGGAGCGAACAGG
rnacentral:rRNA from 1 species